rnacentral:rRNA from 1 species
AGAGUUUGAUCAUGGCUCAGGGCGAACGCUGGCGGCACGCCUCAUACAUGCAAGUCGAGCGAUCGGAUGCUGGGUGCUUGCACUCGGCAUUACGGAGCGGCGAACGGGUGAGUAACACGUGGGCAACCUACCUCGAGGACGGGGAUAACUCCGGGAAACUGGGGCUAAUACCCGAUGUUCUCUUCGGACCGCAUGGUCUGAUCAGCAAAAGGUUCUUCCGCCUCGGGAGGGGCCCACGGCCUAUCAGCUUGUUGGUGGGGUAACGGCCCACCAAGGCUUUGACGGGUAGCCGGCCUGAGAGGGUGUCCGGCCACAUCGGGACUGAGACACGGCCCGAACUCCUACGGGAGGCAGCAGUAGGGAAUCUUGCACAAUGGGCGCAAGCCUGAUGCAGCGAUGCCGCGUGAGGGAUGAAGGCCUUCGGGUCGUAAACCUCUUUCAGUAGGGAAGAAGCCACGGGUCACCGUGGUGACGGUACCUGCAGAAGAAGCCCCGGCUAACUACGUGCCAGCAGCCGCGGUAAAACGUAGGGGGCGAGCGUUGCCCGGAUUCACUGGGCGUAAAGCGGGUGUAGGCGGUUCCUUAAGUCGGAUGUGAAAUCCUACGGCUCAACCGUGGAACUGCAUCCGAUACUGGGGAACUUGAGGACGGUAGAGGUCGGUGGAAUAUCCGGUGUACCGGUGAAAUGGGCAGAUAUCGGAUAGAACACCAGUGGCGAAGGCGGCCGACUGGGCCGUUCCUGACGCUGAGACCCGAAAGCUAGGGUAGCGAACCGGAUUAGAUACCCUAGUAGUCC